AACAAUUGCACGAGGGUGGGCAAAGAGCUGCAAAUCUGUGUUGCUGUGGGCUGGGCAUGGCAGAAAGAGGAGCAGGAUACUGACAUGCUCUCUGUACUGGAUGGACACCUGACUGGGCCAGCGGAUGCUGAGGACAGGGGCGGCGCACUGUGAGCCCCCUGAGUCAGCAGCCUCGCUACCACACCAGUGCUUUCUAAAGACCUAUUCACACAUGGCCCCUGAGCCUCGUUCCCUGCUGAGGUCAGACAGGGCAACAAGUUGCUCCUCUGCUGACAAGCACAUAAUCCACCUGUAACGACAUACAUACUGUAAGUGCCUAAUUGCCUUAACUUUAGAGCUGGAUGCACAAGAAGAUGUACAACUAAAAAAAGAUCCAUUAC